rnacentral:rRNA from 1 species
GAGGGCGGCGUGCUUAACCAUGCAGUCGAGCGGAAAGGCCCUUCGGGGUACUCGAGCGGCGAACGGGUGAGUAACACGUGAGUAAUCUGCCCCAGGCUCUGGGAUAGCCACCGGAAACGGUGAUUAAUACCGGAUACGACAACCGAUUGCAUGAUCUGGUUGUGGAAAGUUUUUCGGCCUGGGAUGUGCUCGCGGCCUAUCAGCUUGUUGGUGAGGUAAUGGCUCACCAAGGCUUCGACGGGUAGCCGGCCUGAGAGGGUGACCGGCCACACUGGGACUGAGACACGGCCCAGACUCCUACGGGAGGCAGCAGUGGGGAAUAUUGGACAAUGGGCGGAAGCCUGAUCCAGCAACGCCGCGUGAGGGAUGACGGCCUUCGGGUUGUAAACCUCUUUCAGCACAGACGAAGCGCAAGUGACGGUAUGUGCAGAAGAAGGACCGGCCAACUACGUGCCAGCAGCCGCGGUAAUACGUAGGGUCCGAGCGUUGUCCGGAAUUAUUGGGCGUAAAGGGCUCGUAGGCGGUCUGUCGCGUCGGGAGUGAAAACCAGGUGCUUAACACCUGGCCUGCUUUCGAUACGGGCAGACUAGAGGUACUCAGGGGAGAAUGGAAUUCCUGGUGUAGCGGUGAAAUGGCGUAGAAA